AAUGGUGUAAAGGAUGACUAAGCUUUUUUCCCCAGCAGAUCGACACUGUUGACUGAUCUAUAUUUAAGCCAAACUUUCUGAUGCACCAUU
ensembl:snoRNA Small nucleolar SNORD12/SNORD106